rnacentral:rRNA from 1 species
UACGUAGGUGGCGAGCGUUGUCCGGAUUUACUGGGCGUAAAGGGAGCGUAGGCGGACUUUUAAGUGAGAUGUGAAAUACCCGGGCUCAACCUGGGUGCUGCAUUUCAAACUGGAAGUCUAGAGUGCAGGAGAGGAGAAUGGAAUUCCUAGUGUAGCGGUGAAAUGCGUAGAGAUUAGGAAGAACACCAGUGGCGAAGGCGAUUCUCUGGACUGUAACUGACGCUGAGGCUCGAAAGCGUGGGGAGCAAACAGGAUUAGAUACCCU